rnacentral:lncRNA from 1 species
GGUGUGUUUCUAGGUAAUGCUGAUGACUACUGUGUGGUUUGUUCCAUGCUGGAAGCCGAUCCUGAGUCCAGUAUGAUUGAAAUGGUGCAGUGUGAGUUUUGUCUCAGAUGGGCACAUUUUGGAUGUGCUCAAUAUGAGAGCAGCCUGGUCAAGUACUUGUGCGACAAAUGUGCAUAAUUGUUAUGAAUACCACUUCUUUCUCCCUGUGUUCUGUUGGAUCUGUAAAUAUCAAAUAUAUAUAUAUAUAUAUAUAUAUCUGUAAAUAUAUUCAGUAAAUAUAUACUGUAACUAUAAUGGAGUGAGUUCAUUGUCAAAGUUUAUAUAGUCAGAUGUUCCAAUCACUUCAAUGGUGACAGCUGUAUAACUUAAGCACCUUGGCAUGCAGACUGCUUCUACAAACAAGUGCCAAACCAUGCUACCUUUGUUAUUAUAAACUAGAAGCAUACUCUGACGGGAAGAAUUACGUGCCAAACCAUGCUACCUUUGUUAUUAUAAACUAGAAGCAUACUCUGACGGGAAGAAUUACGUGCCAAAACAUGCUACCUCUGUUAUUAUAAACUAGAAGCUUACUCUGACGGGAAGAAUUACGUGCCAAAACAUGCUACCUCUGUUAUUAUAAACUAGCAUACUCUGACGGGAAGAAUUACGUGCCAAACCAUGCUACCUUUGUUAUUAUAAACUAGAAGCAUACUCUGACGGGAAGAAUUACGUGCCAAACCAUGCUACCUUUGUUAUUAUAAACUAGAAGCAUACUCUGACGGGAAGAAUUACGUGCCAAAACAUGCUACCUCUGUUAUUAUAAACUAGAAGCAUACUCUGACGGGAAGAAUUACGUGCCAAAACAUGCUACCUUUGUUAUUAUAAACUAGCAUACUCUGACGGGAAGAAUUACGUGCCAAACCAUGCUACCUUUGUUAUUAUAAACUAGAAGCAUACUCUGACGGGAAGAAUUACGUGCCAAAACAUGCUACCUCUGUUAUUAUAAACUAGAAGCAUACUCUGACGGGAAGAAUUACGUGCCAAAACAUGCUACCUUUGUUAUUAUAAACUAGAAGCAUACUCUGACGGGAAGAAUUACGUGCCAAAACAUGCUACCUCUGUUAUUAUAAACUAGAAGCUUACUCUGACGGGAAGAAUUACGUGCCAAACCAUGCUACCUUUGUUAUUAUAAACUAGAAGCAUACUCUGACGGGAAGAAUUACGUGCCAAACCAUGCUACCUUUGUUAUUAUAAACUAGAAGCAUACUCUGACGGGAAGAAUUACGUGCCAAAACAUGCUACCUUUGUUAUUAUAAACUAGAAGCAUACUCUGACGGGAAGAAUUACGUGCCAAACCAUGCUACCUUUGUUAUUAUAAACUAGAAGCAUACUCUGACGGGAAGAAUUACGUGCCAAACCAUGCUACCUUUGUGAAUGUGACCUACAAGCACACUUUAAUGGGUAAAAAGAAGUGUCAAACCGUACUGGCUUUAUGAAUAU